rnacentral:lncRNA from 1 species
AUGCAUGAAUACGAUGUGGUUUACAUGUCGGGCCAAAAAACCUUGGGUUGGGACCAAAUAAUUCAAGAUUGGUUGACGCUCUUUUUCCUCAACCCUCCUUUCGUUUACAAAGGGGGAAAGAAAAGGCCUUCUUUCCAGCCUGAAAACUUUUCAAACCUGUUGUGUAUUCAAAUUUUUAUGUUUUGUUCUUAUUCUUGCACUAGUUACUUUCCUCUUCUUCUUUGCUCAUUAUAG